ACGGGAGGCAGCAGUGGGGAAUAUUGCACAAUGGGGGAAACCCUGAUGCAGCGACGCCGCGUGAGUGAAGAAGUAUUUCGGUAUGUAAAGCUCUAUCAGCAGGGAAGAUAAUGACGGUACCUGACUAAGAAGCCCCGGCUAACUACGUGCCAGCAGCCGCGGUACUACGUAGGGGGCAAGCGUUAUCCGGAUUUACUGGGUGUAAAGGGAGCGCAGACGGCCAUGCAAGUCUGAAGUGAAAUCCACGGGCUCAACCCGUGAACUGCUUUGGAAACUGUAAGGCUAGAGUGCAGGAGAGGUAAGUGGAAUUCCUAGUGUAGCGGUGAAAUGCGUAGAUAUUAGGAGGAACACCAGUGGCGAAGGCGGCUUACUGGACUGUAACUGACGUUGAGGCUCGAAAGCGUGGGGAGCAAACAGGAUUAGAUACCCUGGUA
rnacentral:rRNA from 1 species